GCCUUUGGUUGGCCAGGCUAUCCCGACCUUACUCGCGAAGCUUCCGCCUUGUCCUAAUGCCGGUAUUCACCCCCAAGAAAUGUUUUAUGAAACCACUAAUACUCUGCAGUUGGCGUUAAAAAUAACCUGGACAAAGGAAAUGGAAUAAAAUUCUAAAGGAUGAAGAGUAAGACCUUGGAGGACAAUGUUUAAGGGAUAUCCCUCCAGAGAGCAGAAUUAAGGCCUAAUGAUGGGUCACUGGAUGAUAAAGAACUACUUCUAGACCUAAGGAAGAAGACCCGACCAUACCUGUAGAUUCUGGAGAUUCAGCUGAAUGCAGUGACUGGAUAGGAGCCUACUUGCAUCUAUAGAAUUCUCUGAAAAAUAGAUAAAAGACUGGCUUUAUGUAUGGUAUUCAUUCAUCCAGUCUGUUAUUCAAAUAAUAUUUAAUGAUCACUUAACCCAGGAACUGUGCUGGGUUUAAGGAUAUAAAAGGGAGGCAGGACUCCUGCAUUCAUGAAGCUUACAGUCUGGAGGGGGAAAUAUAUGCGGCCUAUUUCUAGUCAAGAGAACGUUAUGAACAAAGAAUAGUGUCAGUAAUCUAUACUUGUCAAUGACAUUAAGGAGAGGGUGAUUUCCAGGUUCAUGUAGACCAUUUUCUUCAUUGUCUUCUCUGAUCAGUAUCUAUUGCCACCACCAUACCUCCAUUCUCAAAAUGAAGCAUUCCUUCAUCCCAAUUACUCUCACAGAAGGGGCAUAUUGAUAGCAUCACUGCCUGUGAGCAGGAUAGAAAUGCCUACUUAUAUGGUUUUGAUCUUUUCUGAUGCUUACCAAAACACGAAUAGUACAUUAUUUUCCAUCAAGAAGGCACCUAUAAUGGAGAAACAAACUAUGACAGAGUACUGUGGUUCUCUGUCGUGUAGUAGAAUUUUUUAAUAAAGUCAUGAGAAGGGAGGGAUAAAGCAUUUACUUUAAGCAGAAACUCAUGAGUUCUGGUUUCAGACCCAAAGAAGAUACUCAGUGACUUUAGGUAAGACACAUAACUUCCUUUAUCCUUCUUCUUAUCCUACUGUUACAUAGAAGGAUAUAGUAAAAAAACGACUAAAUAAUAUCCAUUUCUAAAGAUGGUAGAUGUAUAUUUAUGCCAAAUAGCACAGUAGGCAAAAAGACUUGAGCCUGAGCCAUAGCUCUGUCAUCUAUUUGACAUGUUGGUUAUACACACAUCCUUUAGCUCUUGGGGGUUAUAGAACGAAGCCAUUAAAAACAGCUUUUAAAAUAGUUGUAUUUGUAUUAAAGCAGCCAAAAAUAGUGCCCUAAAAUGUGUUAAUUUAUAUAUUGUUUAUUUUAUUUCAUUUCAUUUUUUCUUAACACCUCCUUAAAAUAGGGCAUUUCCACUUGCCAGAAAAACAAGCAACACAGAAAUUAAGUGUUUUAUGGGAUGCCACAUGUUAUUGUGGUCCUGGAUCUAUAAAAAUGCUCUCCAUACAUUAACACUGAUUUUCAAAACAACCUUCUAGGUCAAAAUUUUGUAAAAUAUUUCCAUGCCUGUAAACCCAGAGAAAUGGGAUGUUAAAACAGGACUUUCUGUUUUGGAGCUUCAUUAAAGCCCAUGAGAACUCCUAGUGUUUUAGAGAGGGUUAACAGUGCAGAACUAUGUAACACAGACCAUGUACCCCAUACCUCCUAAAGCAGUGUGCCAGAGUACAUCAAUUGCAGCCUGACUGUGGCCCUGGUGCACUCUGGGACCUAGCCUGAGGCAGUACCACUAUCUGGAACAUUGCUUGUCAUCAUGACAGACAGACGGAAAGGAAAACAUGGUGAACCCCAUGCUGGCUGUUAAAGGUUCUGCUCUGAAGUGGCUUGUAUCACUUCUGUUCAAGUCACACACCUGAGGCUACUCUUGAGUUCAUCAAGAUAGGAAUGUGUAAUCCUCUGGCAGAGAAGGGCACCAAAUAAAGAUAAAUACAGUCUACAAGAGUAUGGGAUUAGAAUGAGAUUUUAUCCAAAAUCCAGGGAAGAAAGUUCACAGAGCAGUUUUAACGGGGCAGUAGGGAAAAGCAUAAGAUUGGUUUCUACUUAUACCUCACUGUGGCAGAUUUUCUUUUCCAAAGAUGGUUGAAAUGAUAUCUCUCAACCCACACGUUCUUCUAGACCCUUGCCACUCCCUAUCAAGAAUGGAGUCUAAUUAAUAAAAAUAAUGAUAAAUCAA